GUACAAACUCAGUGAAUGACUGCAGCUAUUUCAGAGCUUAAAAAAUUUUUUUGGUAAACUUUGGCUAAAUUUGGAAAGCAUAUUGAGUUUGAAUGUAAGAAAAAAAAUGAUAUGAAGAACUACAGAGGAAGAUAUUCCAGUAAUAUAUGCCUGAGACUUGUGGAAACAUUAAAUAAGUAGUGAAAAAAAAGACUGUAAGGCUUCUCUUUUGCCUCAUGUUUAGAAAUGCAAUAUCCUAGUAAUUGAAGGUUGUGAUUAACUGAACAUUUGGUAUAUACAGGGAAACAAUUGAAUUCUAAGUAAUUAAUCUAAUUUUUCUGCAUUCCACUUUGACUUAGGAAACAAGUCUUAAAAAUUGUACUCCAGGAGAUUUUCCAGCUGUCAGGAUAUUCAGCUUUUCUAUUCAUAUGCUCUCUUGCUUCUCAUACAUCUAAAACAUACAUCCAGAGUAUACAAAGUAUGAGACCAUAUUAAUUGAACAGACAAUUUAGCACAGUCAUUAAGACAAUGAGCUCUGGCACCAAAAUGCUUAGAUUUUUACUCCUACCUGGCUUUACCUCUUAAUAGCUAUAUGACCUUGAGCAGGUACUUAACCUCUGUUCUAUAAAAAUGAUGAAAAUAAUACUUAAUGGGGUGUUAUGAGAAUGUAGUGAGUUAGUACAUGAGAAGUUCCUGGAAGGCAUCUGGCACAUUUAAUGCAUACACACACACACACACACACACACACACACACACACACACAUGUUUUAACUGCCAUUGAUUUGGUCAGCAUUGCCCCCUAGCACAGGCCCAUAUUUAAUCACCAAAGCAAGAUUGUUUCUGAUGAGCACACACCAUGUUUUCUCACAGGAAAUAGUUCCACAUGUGGAAGAGUCUAAACAAUGAGAGUUCAACUCUCAGAAAUCUUGGCUAAUCCUUAACUUACCGGAAUAUUAUUCAUAGAACAGUAUUUCUCAAGUUAAGAUUAAUCAAUGAGGUAAUUUGGCAGUGAUCAGUUUUCAAAGAUUUAAAGUAACUUUACCACUCCCAUACUGUUUAUAAACAUUAUUUUCUCUUUUACUUGGGAAGCAGUUCAGUAUCUUACAAUGUUUUGGCAUCAUAAAUGCAAUUUAGCAUUUUGCAAUGCAAUAAAUAUAUAAAGUUAUACAAAAUUAGACUGCAUGAGUAUUUAUCCUAAGGAGAAAGUAUGAAUUAAAGGCUUCAGUUUUUUGGUGUCUGAGUAGAAUACAGGAGGUCUUACGUUGUCCCACGUUGUCUCUUAAGGUUGGGAUAGGAAGUGCUCGCUUUCACACUAAGUGACCCUCGGUCUGACUAGCUGGACUACUUGGUUAGGAUCAAAAAAAGUCCACAUUAUUAAGAGAAAUAACACACUCUUGAAAAAGACUGAGGGAAAAACCAUCUUUCCAGUGUAGGCUACUAACCUACGAAAGAAUAGAGCAGCUCCUUACAGCUAGGAAAUGAGAAAGUCAAGAAGGGAGAAAAAAAUUAAGAAGAAAGGCAGAGGUGAUGAGUGGCAGAGAGAAAAUGAAAGCAAAAGACGAGAAGAGAACUAACAAAAACAUUUGUAUUGCUCUGUCAUGUCUUGCACAUUGUCCUUGUUCAUCUUCAGACCUGUCAGAUUGGCAAUCUAGGUCUUACAGCCAAGUUACCUAAAGAAAGAAUUGGAUUUUAUUAAUUUGGCAAGUAACGAACACAAAUAUUCUGUGCCAAGUAUCGGAGAUAUAAUUAAACAACUGUCCCUGACCUCAUAGAGUUUCCAUUUUACUUCAAAGAAAUUCAGGGAUUUGUAAAUGACUGGUAAAUAAAAAAACAAGAUCUAGACCUUUGUUCUAAACCCCUGUUCUUUUCCCUCUGUGCUGUUCAGACAGGUUGCAGCCAUAUUUCAAAUAGUUCUGCAAGAGAAUUGAAUCCCAAUAAUCUGUGUUUCAGGAUUCAGAAUAAAUUAUUGCUUCCCUUUUAAGUUUUUUUUUUAUCUAAUUAAACACUAUUAAACAUUGUGUUUUCUCAUGUUAGAAUCUUCAAGUUUCAUAGCAUCCAAUUUCUGCCUCCCUCUUGUCUGAGACAACAUGAAGUAAAGGUAAAUUGAAUUGAAAGCUUUCCACUCUCCUGUUGGAAAGGCAAUCCUCAUUCUAAGACUCUUAGGAAACAGUGCACUAGGUUUAAAUUUCAACAAAGCAUUUUUCAGAAUCUUAUGGUGUUCUUUUGAAUAUGGAAAUUUGAGCUGAAUGAUGGUACUGUUAAUUGAUGUCAUGUAUUUGUCAAGUAUUAAGUGCAAAUCAGGUGCUGGGAACUGGUAACACAUGUUAAAAAAGCAAGGACUCUGACCUCAAGAUGUUUAAACGUAAAACAAUGCAGUAAGAAAACUGCUCUAAAAAGUCCUAUGUGCAAAGGGUGGAGGAAACAUGAAAGUUUCUAGUCUAUUCAAAGGGUCACCAGUAAUGCAUCGGGACCCUUCCUGGGAUUUGAAUGAGAACAUUUGAUUUAAACAAGCUCAUUGAAUUUAUAUAGAACAUGAAGCUGACAAGGAUACCUAAUGCUUUGAUGAUAAACUGCAUUUAACAAGUAUUUAUUAAGCACCUAUUGUUUGCCAGACACUGUACUUAGAAUUGAACUAUUCUUUGAUAGAUCGGAUUAAUGGACCAAGUUGAACAAGCUAAAAAUUAAUAAAGUCUUGAAAUGAUAGACUGCUAAAGCUAGAAGAGACAAUUGUGACUUAUAGUUUUUAGUCACCUGGAUGUUCACCAUGAGUCAGUGCAAUGAUUAACUGCCAAAUUCAAUGCUGUCCUGUAGAAAUACAAUGUGAGCCACAAGUAUAUAAAUUUAAGUGUUAUAGCAAACGCAUUAAAAGUAAAAACCAGGUGAAAUUAAUUUUAAUGUUUUUUUUAACCCAUUGUAUCCAAAAUAUUUCAUGUGUGACCAAUAUGAGAAAUUAAUGAGGGGCUCCUGGGUGGCUCAGUCAGCUAAGCAUCUGGUUUCAGCUCAGGGCAUGAUCUCGCAGUUUGUGAGUUCAAGCCCUUCAUCAGGCUCUGUGCUGACAGCUCAGAACCUGGAGCCUGCUUCACACUCUGUGUCUCCCUCUCUCUCUGCCCUCCCUGGCUCACGCUCUGCCUCUCUCUCUCAAAAGUAAACAUUAAAAAAAAUUUUUUUAAUUUAUGAGAUAUUUUGUAUUGGUGUGGAUUUUGCACUUUAUAAAAUAUACACGGUUUUGAACUAGCUGUAUUUCAGGUGCUUAAUCACCCCAUGUGACUGGUGGCUACCAUGCUGGACAGUAUAGCUCUAUAUUCUCCUGUAUAAAUUCACAGGUUGUUUCAUGUUUACUUCAGUUCUCAGCAGUGUAUAUUAUGAUGCAAAGCAGAUGAUGUAUUCGAAGACAGAUUUCAGAAUGCUAUUAAAAUGUUUGAAACCAUCAUGUGAAAGAGGGAUUAGCCUCAGAAUGGUAGAUGUAUUUUGUGUAACUUGUCAAUUCUGAGUUGAGUUGUGGCUUAAUAGCGCUUUAAGACCGAUGCUGAAUCUGCUCUUUGAGUGCAUUCACCUAAGGAGAGAUCAGCUGUGGCCAGACACUUGCCGUCACUGAAGUAGACUUAAUCCAUAUGGUUCCAGAAGGCAGGAGCACUGAAUAGAAUUUACAUGGGAACAGAGUUAGGUUUAACGUUAAAGAGAACUCUUCUAAUCAGAACUACCCCUGAGUUGAAUAAGCUCCCCCCAAGAAGUAGCUAAUUUCCUGUCACCGAAUGUGCAGAGAAGGGUUGUGCAAACUGUCUUCAGAUGUUCUAUAAAUUCAAGUGUGAGAUGAAAGAAGUGGACUAGGUAAACUUUUACAGCCUCAUCUGACUAAAAUUCUGUGUUUGGCCUUAAAUGGGUGUGGUGGGAAGGCCUACCAAUUUCAAACCCUUAGAAUAGCCCUUUCAGUCAACCUGGCUUUGUCCCAACCUCAAAUACGCCAGAGCCUUAUAUAAUGAUUUGUACUGUAGCAAGUUUUCCAAAGUGUCUUAAUUUCCUUCCUAUACAAUACUGCCUACACCCCAAACUAAACCUAAAAUAACAUUCGUCUCUGCCUAUACCACACACACACCCUAGCCUUUUAGCUGGCUCCAUGGCAGACAUUGCUGCCAGGAAAAAAGGUUUCACUGGUAAUACAUAAAGCUCAGGGUAUACAGUCCCUGGGUUUCUUUAUCUCCACCGGCCACCCAAUAACUCCAUAUAUACUAUGGGUAACAAAUUAUAGAACCCAAUUGUCAACACUGUUGUUACAGUCGCAAAGUAAAGUGUGUUUUGAUGGUGAAACUUCAUUUUUAGAAGAUUGAUUUGUCCAGUGUGGAAAAAUAGAUGUAACCCAAACUAUGAAGUCAGCUAUGAUUAGGCUCUUAACCUUAUUUUAAAAUUGCUUAGUGGUUGCUGCCUUGGCAUAUCUGGCUGUUAGCUAUACAGUUAUUAUACACACAGAUUAUGAAGUAAUAAAAGUUGACAGUGUUUUUCUUUCCUUGAUAAGUACAUUUCUAUCUCCUUUUUUUCAUUUAUGGAAAAACUUUUUGUUGUUAACUCUAAGUUCAUCUGAAAUUUAAAGUUAUUUUCAAGGGGCAUCUGAAUUAUUUAGAGAAAACCCUGUGUAAUGUAUCUGUGAAAUGGCUUUGCUAAGAAUCCCAAAGGCUAUCCUGGAAAAAAUCUACACAUCCAAUAGGAUUCACUUUAAGUACACACUCUAAAACUUUGCAUUUAUUUUUUUUUUUUAUGUUUAUUUAUUUUUGAGACAGAGACAGAGCAUGAAUGGGGGAGGGUCAGAGAGAGGGAGACACAGAAUCUGAAGCAGGCUCCAGGCUCUGAGCUGUCAGCACAGAGCCUGAUGCGGGGCUUGAACUCAUGGACUGUGAGAUCAUGACCUGGGCCGAAGUCGGAUGCUUAACUGACUGAGCCACCCAGGCGUCCCUGAAACUUUGCAUUUAGAUUCAGGAUGAAUGGAGUUCUUAGAACAGGCCUUUAGGUAAUAUUCCUAUCUAUGUAGACAUAUGUAUUCAUUAAAUAACAAGUUUCACCUGCUCUGGAUUUUUUUGCCUUGAUGAUGUUAGAAUUUUAUAAAAUUAUAAAAGAAUUAUAAAGGAUAACUUACAAAAGGUAACUACAGCCAUUUAAUACAGAGGAUUCCUUGGGCAAAUUUGUCACGAAAAAUUUUGCUGGAGUCUCUAGACCAGUUAGGGUAUUGAUUUAAAUAACAAGACAAGGAUUUACUUAUUUUUAAAUCACAAUAUUUUAAGCCUAUAAAAAGUAUUUUAAAAUAUGUAUUAUCUAUAAAAAGUAUAAAGAAUAAUAAAAUAGGGGCACCUGGAUGACUCAGUCACUUGAGCAUCCAGCACUUGAUUUCAGCUCAGGUCAUGAUCUCAUGGUGAGGCUGGGCCCCGCAUAGGGGCUAUCAGUGCAAAGCCUGCAUGGGAUUCUCUCUCCCUCUCUCUCUGCCCCUCACCCCUUCUCAAAAUAAACAAAUAUUUUAAAAAAGAAGAAGAAGAAAAUAUGUUCCUGUAUACCCACAACCUGGCUUAAGCAAUGGAACAUUAGCAAUUCCCUCAAAGCCCUCUGGGUGUUCUCCCCUUACGGCCUUUCCUUCUCACCCCCAAGAGUCUGAAAUUUUAUGUUGGGGAUUCUUUGUUUUCUUUAUAGAAUUACCAUAUAUGUAGGUGUUACAAAUCAGUAUAUUGUAUUUCAUGUUUUAACCUUUGUUUUAAUGAAAUUAUUCUGUAUUCUGUUCUUCUAUAGUAUGUUGCUCUUACCAUUGUAUUUGUUAGAUUCCUCCAUGUCAAAGUUCAUUUAUUUCCAUUCUUAUAUGAUACACAAAUAUACCAUGAUUAAUCUA